GCCUGUGGAGGGUUAUAGGGGAGUUCAGUCUUCCUUUGUAGUCUAUGGUUGCAGUUAUCUUCUAUUUAUUCACAGGUUGUGAAAAUUGACGUCAUUCUUGUGAAUCGAAUUUUAGGCAAGAGACGAGGUGGAAGGAGCUGUAGAAAGGUACUUGGAAAAGUACCAGAGCGACGAAGAAAAUGACAGCAGUUCAAGUGAAGAAGGUGAACAGGAACGUAAAUGGGAUUGCGAGUCUAUCCUGUCAACUUACUCUAACAUUUACAAUCAUCCUAAACUCAUUUCUGAACCACAGAGUUCCAGAAUUAUUAAAGUGUGUCCCAAAACAGGUGUUCCCCUCAAUGUCCUGGGGAAACCCGGUCUGACCAAAAAGUUCUUAGAUCAACUCGAUCAACAAACUGAAGGGACCAAAAAGAACUAUGUCGAAACGCAGUUCAUCAUCAGCACAUUAUCGACUAUAUCCAUUCGACCAAAAGAUGAAACACCAGAGAGCAGAGAAUCGAAAGGAAGCGACUUGUAAAUAGAAUAUCGUCAAAAAAGAAGAAAUGAAAAGAAAGCCAACGCGUCAGCUUUCAAAGAAGAAAAGAAACUACAAGAACAACAACAUGUAAACAACCGUAAAAAUGUUAGUGGCAUUAAAUUGUUGUAGUGGUUUUUCAAACUUUGAAUACAUCGCCAGAUGUACAUUCACCACGACGCAUUUGUUCGGAGGUUUUGGAAUUAUUUGUAAACGGUUCAAUACAUCAGCACACACGUAA